rnacentral:rRNA from 1 species
UACGUAGGUGGCAAGCGUUAUCCGGAUUUACUGGGUGUAAAGGGCGUGUAGGCGGGAAAGCAAGUCAGAUGUGAAAACCAUGGGCUCAACCUGUGGCCUGCAUUUGAAACUGUUUUUCUUGAGUACUGGAGAGGCAGACGGAAUUCCUCGUGUAGCGGCGAAAUGCGUAGAUAUGAGGAGGAACACCAGUGGCGAAGGCGGUCUGCUGGACAGCAACUGACGCUGAGGCGCGAAAGCGUGGGGAGCAAACAGG